AAAACACUUCAUGCCUAAAAUUAAUGUUGUCGUGGAACGGCAUACGUUCAGAAAAAGAGUACAAGCCUCGCACGAAAACAUACAACAGUAUGUUGCUGCUUUGCAUGCACUUUCCGCUAACUGUGACUUUGGUGAUAAAGGGGAUGAUAUGAUCCGCGAUCAAUUGCUGGAACAUUUGCACAGUGAUGAUAUUAGACAGAGACUGUUACUGAAUAGUUGUCUAGGUUGUCACAACUACUUUAUGCAGAGUACAUGUUUCCACAAGUUGGGUUAAGAACAAUGUUUUUACAAAAAAAGGGGAAAUGUUGUGUCCCAUACUGUAAUUCCUAAUGUUACCUCUAGAGACGCUGUGUUGUAAGAGGAUAGAGGGGUGGGUGAAAGAAGAAGAAGGGUUUUGGAUAGUUAGACAUGAAAAGUUACGGUCGAACACAUGUGGAGUGAAGAUGGAAAUAAAUAUGAGUCAUUGAAGAUAUACGGUGUCGUGCUUACUACUCAACCCAACUACAUGUUUUUAGCAGGCUUUAAAGUUUUUAUUCUGAAUACAUAAUUAUGUUUUGUCGCUUUUGUUUACGUUGAACGUGCAUUGUGGUUAUUUUAUUAGGAUAAAUGAAUAUUAGCUAUGCAGCUAACGUUAACUUAGGAAAAUAACCACAAUGAAUAACAGUAUAACUCACCAAGUUAGCUUUUUUGGUUUGAUUUGUACUUUUUGCAGUGCAGGCCUGAAUACAGACCAGCUCACGGGCAUCAUUUAUAAAGUGAUCAAUUGGAAUAGACGAGGAGCAGGGCUGGACUGGUAAUCUGGCCUACCGGACAUUUUUCCGGUGGACCGACGCACUUUGAGGCCGAUCAGGGUGGACUGGCCAUCGGGAGAACCGAGCGGGCCGCAGUGUCGGCCGCGAUAAUCUAAAACGAGCCGCCAAGUUAGCGGGAACCCCCCCCCCGCAACAAAUUUUGGGCCAGUUAUGUCAAAUCCCGUUCCGAUUUCUCUUCCCAGUCCAUCCCUGACAAGGAGCACAUGGAUAUUGUUGAAGUUAAACAAGGUUGAACAUGUUUGCCUCAAGUUCCUUGAAUGCAGAACCACCAUGGAGAUCCAGAACCUUUGUGGGGACAGAGAUGGGCCUUGUGAGUGUGUGCUGUUGAAGAAAUCUCUCAGCUGACUGACGGUCUUAUAAAUCCACCUCAGGACUUCAUGUCGAUCAGUAUGUUCAUCUUGGGAAGAGCUCUCGACACUGAGUGCUGAUAAACAGGCUGAACGUCACUGCCUGAAAUGCCAGCAUAUCAGAAGAUGCUGCCUCCAGUGUCACUGUGCUAUCCGGUGGAGAACUGUUGCCACUAGCUCUGAUGGCAUGUGUGGCAGCGGGGGCGUGGUCAAGCGCCCGUCCGGGAGAGAAAAGCGGUAAGGGCGCUUACACCUGAGCUAAAUUAUGUCUAAACACCUGUCUCUAAUUUCAGUGAGUACGAGGAGAGCGGCAUAAAAAGGCAGCGAGAGGGCCCCAGAGAGGGAGAUGACAUGCGAACCCAGUGUUUGGCAUUGUGUUGUAUUGUGUUUGUAAAAUAAGAUUGUACGGAACAAAAAGGGAAUUAAAACCUUACCUUGUGGUGAAGACCUGUUUCCUGUCCUCCUUCCUUGGGAAGUGUUACACUGGUGCCGAAACCGGGACAUUAAAGGAAACAUGGAAAGUGGUCGCCCCAUAGAGUCCUCCCAGCUGGCAG